rnacentral:rRNA from 1 species
AAACCAACUGGGAUUACCUUAGUAACGGCGAGUGAAGCGGUAAAAGCUCAAAUUUGAAAUCUGGUACUUUCAGUGCCCGAGUUGUAAUUUGUAGAAUUUGUCUUUGAUUAGGUCCUUGUCUAUGUUCCUUGGAACAGGACGUCAUAGAGGGUGAGAAUCCCGUUUGGCGAGGAUACCUUUUCUCUGUAAGACUUUUUUGAAGAGUCGAGUUGUUUGGGAAUGCAGCUCAAAGUGGGUGGUAAAUUCCAUCUAAAGCUAAAUAUUGGCGAGAGACCGAUAGCGAACAAGUACAGUGAUGGAAAGAUGAAAAGAACUUUGAAAAGAGAGUGAAAAAGUACGUGAAAUUGUUGAAAGGGAAGGGCAUUUGAUCAGACAUGGUGUUUUUGCAUGCACUCGCCUCUCGUGGGCUUGGGCCUCUCAAAAAUUUCACUGGGCCAACAUCAAUUUUGGCGGCAGGUAAAAUCUUUGGUAAUGUAGCUACUCGGUAGUGUUAUAGCCUUUGUAAUACUGUCUAGCUGGAGUUGA